rnacentral:tRNA from 1 species
GCCGAAGUGGCGGAACCGGCAGACGCACACGACUCAAAAUCGUGCGGGCUACGCCCAUGCGGGUUCGACUCCCGCCUUCGGCACCA